rnacentral:rRNA from 1 species
GAAGGUAGUGUAGUGGACUACCUUGCCUCUGACGGGUAACGGGGGAUUGGGGUUCGAUUCCGGAGAGGGUGCCUGAGAAACGGCAACCAUGACUACGGUCAGCAGCAGGCGCGCAAAUUGCCCAAUGCUAACACAGCGAGGCAGCGACAAAAAAUAGUAUUUCUGCUCCAUUCUAUGGACCAGAAUGCAAUGGAUUGUAUCUAAUACACACUGUUGAGUAACUAUUGGAGGGCAAGUCUGGUGCCAGCAGCCGCGGUAAUUCCAGCUCCAAGAGCGUAUAUAAAUGUUGUUGCGGUUAAAAAGCCCGUAGUUGGAUUUGAGUGCAGAACUAGCAACUGUCUCCUGAGCUACUUCGGUAGUGAUGGUCAACAGGUGCAUAUUAGUAAUGCACUGAGACAUGCGGGAUCGUCCACGGGUUCUGGGGUCAUUAAGUUGGCUUCAGUUCUUUUCGGAGGGACUAUACUCCAUCAUGUGCGCCCGCAGCCGUCACUGUGAGUAAAACAGAGUGUUCAAGGCAACCAUUCUGGUUGAAUGUUAAAGUAUGGAAUGACAAGGGAUCGACCUUCGGGCCUCUUUUUGUUGGUUCUUUAAGGCUCCGCUAGGAGAAUUUCGUAGGUAGUUUCCUUGAUGUCGCUUCGGUGACUGAGAGGUCUGCCUAUUUACGGGAUCAAUAGGAGCACAGGGGGCUGUGGGUACUGGAGGGCUAGUGGUGAAAUACUGAGACCCCUCCAAGACCGACAUCAGCGAAAGCACUCGGCUAUUGUGCUUUCAUUAAUCAAGGACGAGAGAUCGGGGAUUGAAGAGGAUUAGACACCCUCGUAAUCCGUUCUGUAAAUACUGCAGACUUGGGAUCGGUCAGUGAUCUAAUCUAGACCUGAUCGGCACCUUCCUCCUCUAUCGAGAAAUCAAAGUUUUUGUGUUCCGGGGGGAGUACAUUCGCAAGGCUGAAACUUAAAGGAAUUGACGGAGAACCACCACCAGUUGUGGAGUGUGUGGCUUAAUUCGACCCAACACGGGAAAUUUUACCAGGCCAGGACGUGGUGAGGAUUGCCAGAUUGAUAGCUCUUGCAUGAUUUCGCGAAGGGUGGUGCAUGGCCGCUUCUGGUUGGUGAAGUGAUUUGUCUGCUUAAUUGCGUUAACGAACGAGAUCUCUGCCAAUUACUAGACGUCGGUGUCGCUUAAGGUGUUCGGAGUGCAUUUCCUUCACGGGAUUUGUUACCUCGAUACCGAGACGCUUGAUGCUUACUUAUUGGGAUUAUGUAAUCACAAUUACAUUGAAACAAGAGCCCAAAGCAGGUCUGUGAUGCUCCUAUAUGUUCUGGGCUGCACGCGCACUACACUGAUUCAGCCAACGAGCCUCUGACUUCGGUCAGCCUGUCCCGAGGGGGAACGGGGAAUCUUUUGAGCCUGAGUCGUGAUGGGGAUUGAUGAUAAUUGUAAUUAUUCUCCAUGAACGAGGAAUAUCUUGUAUCCGCGUUUCAUCAGAACGCAGAGAAUACGUCCCUGGUUCUUGUACACACCGCCCGUCGUUGCCUGUGAUGGAUUGUAAGUAGAGCUUUCUGGGGAUCAUCCUAGGUUCUAGGUUUUGUCGAAAUUAAGCAAUACUUGCAAUCUAGAAGAGGCAAAAGUCGUAACAAGGUA